GGGUGCGAUCAUACCGACGUUAAUGCACCGGAUCAUAUCAGAACUCCAUAGUUAAGCGCGCUUGGGCUGGAGUAGUACUAGGAUAGGUGACCUCCCCAGAAGUCCUAGUGUUGCACCCU
rnacentral:rRNA from 1 species